CUGAGCCGUCCACGUGGACAGUCGGGUACAAAGAGAACAUCGCGACUCGCUCUCUUCUCUAAACGCGCUGCAGCUUAUCGCGCCAGAAAAAAGCUCGCGAUAGGAUUUAGCAAACAAAAAGUUCUUUGUCAUAAUUAUUCUGCGAAUUAAUUUUUUUUUUUCUACACAUACUUGCGGUUAAUUAUUCUCCUCGUGAUUAAAAAAAUAAUUAAAUUCUACGACUAACGAUUUUUAAGAAGUUUUACAAUUUUUAAUAAUCACAUUAUUCCAACGCAAUCUUUCAGUAACGAAUCUCAAUCGGUUGAUGCAUAAUAGUUUAAUAGAAUAACAAAUUCAAACAAGUAAUUCGAUUGUUUUUUCGUUUCUUCCGUGCGCAUUUUUUACUGUGAUCUACAUUUUGAAAUUGUCAGCACCUGCGGUUGUUGAAGUGAAAAUCAAAUAUAAAAAUUGACGUGUAAUAAAUUGGAGAUUAUAAAAAAAAAAAAUUCAACACGAUUGAAUAAAAAAAUUUAUAAAAAAAGAAACAGUGCUCGUGAAGUUUAUUUUUAAUCAAAGUUUCUGAUCUACAAAAAUAUACACAUGCAACACACAUUUUACGUGACAUAAUAUAAGUGAAAAAACAGUUUGGGCCAAGAUUCUGUUCGUUAUACACAGAAUCGUUUUAUAAUUAAUUAUAAAUAAAUACCAAAGAUUACAAAAAUAGCAUGCCAAAUCAAAUAUGGAUGUUCAGAAGCGGCUUGAUCCUCUUCUGUUUAGCCGCCAUCCAAUGGCUGGCACUUGGAAGUCCUGUAAGAGAAAGAAUGAAGAGGGAAACGGAAAUAGCGAACACAAACUGGACGAGCCUUGCUGAUGAGUGGUUACUUGCUAAAGAAAGAAUUGCACGGAGAAUGAGUGUUCCGCUUCUACCUAACAGCAGCGUUAUACGCGAAUUUCAGGACGUACAAGUCGUCAUUAACAGAACAUCUCCCGAACAAAUGUUAAGACUGAACUAUUCGAGAACACUUUGGGAUCUGGAGUCUUCGCAAAAAAGUGGCCACCUAUCUGGUUUCGUCGACAAGGCACUGAAGCUACUGGAUCUUCGAAAAGUCAUGAUGGAGGUGGAGACCUCGGUGAUGUCAAAGGUCUCCUGUACUGCCUGCAAGGUCGGCGCCGGCCUCUUGCAGCACUACAUCAAGAGCGGAAAAACUGACGAGGAGAUCAUGGCCAGCAUUUACCAGUUUUGCAUUUCCCUCAAAAUUCAAAGCGCUCGAGUCUGCCAAGGCGUCACGCUGCUGUUCGGAGGCGAAGUGAUCUACGUUCUGAAGCAAAUCAGCUUGGGCCCUUCCCAGAUAUGCAGUUUUGUGAUUGGGGACGCCUGCGAUGACGCAUACAACCCUCAACACGAAUGGGAAGUGGCUUUUCCCCCGGUGAACAAGCCGCCAAUCCAACCACCGAUCCCUCCAACGGAAGGGGCACCGACCUUCAAGGUCCUUCACAUAUCGGACACUCAUUACGACCCCUAUUACCAGGAGGGCGCAAAUGCUGACUGCAACGAGCCGUUGUGCUGUCGUCUGACCAAUGGAGCGCCUCUUACCGCUUCCGGAGCCGCAGGAAGAUGGGGCGAUUACAGGAAGUGCGAUACUCCCAAGAGGACUGUCGAUCAUAUGCUGAAACACAUUACGGAAACUCACUCGGACAUAGACUACAUAUUGUGGACGGGAGACCUGCCGCCUCACGACGUAUGGAACCAAACAAGGGAAGAAAAUCUGAAAAUUCUACGUGACACUGUGUCGCAAAUGGUAGAAAUGUUUCCUGGAGUGCCGAUAUUCCCUGCGCUUGGUAAUCACGAAAGUGCUCCAGUCAACAGUUUUCCCCCGCCAUUCGUUCCGGGAGAGAACAGCAUAUCAUGGCUGUACGACGAGCUGGAUAAGGAAUGGAGAAGAUGGCUGCCAGCUGGAGUAUCGCACACGGUUCGUCGUGGAGCAUUUUACUCUGUAUUGGUCAGACCGGGUUUCAGAAUUCUAUCGGUCAACAUGAACUAUUGCAACAACAAGAAUUGGUGGCUGUUGAUAAACAGCACGGACCCAGUCAGCGAACUCCAGUGGCUGAUUUACGAACUUCAAGGGGCGGAAAUUAACGGAGAAAAGGUGCACAUCAUCGGCCACAUUCCGCCGGGACAUUCCGACUGCCUUAAAGUCUGGUCCAGGAAUUAUUACCACAUCAUUAAUCGUUACGAAUCAACGAUCACGGCUCAAUUUUUCGGCCAUACUCACUACGACGAGUUUCAACUAUUCUACGACACGACGGAUCUCGGUAGAGCUUUAGGAAUAGCUUACGUCGGGCCGUCUGUUUCCCCAUACAUCGAUCUCAAUCCGGGGUACCGGAUAUACUACGUCGACGGGGAUCACGCUAAAACUACCAGGAUGGUAGUAGAGCACGAGUCCUGGGUGAUGAACUUGAAGGAAGCAAAUCUUUACGACUACCCAAUUUGGCAGAAAAUGUACACAGCUAAACAGGCGUACCAAAUGGCAUCCCUGUUACCCCGAGACUGGGACUCUCUGAUAGACAAAAUGACGAAUGAACCGUCACUCUUCGAUCUUUACUACAAGCAUUAUUACAAAAAUUCACCGGUGAGGCCGGCCUGCAACGACGAAUGCCGCAAAAGGCUGCUGUGCGAUUUGCGAAGCGGUAGAAGCCACGAUAGAAAAGCACUCUGCCAAAGCUUAGAGUCGAGAAUAGACGGGGAAACCAGAACGGGAUGGCGAGCCUGGAUCUACAAUGGCUUAGCUUUGUCAUACGAUAAUGAACGUAAUUAAGGCGGUGAUGGAAAUUCAAUGCGUUUCACACCAAAUUUAACGGUGAUGGUAGAGGAAUAUCUCAUCGCAAUAUCUACGCACGUAAUCACAAUAAGAUGUCAGUCGUCAUGGCGAUUCCAAGAUUCGCAUACAAUUUACCAAAGUAUGUAUUGGGCUUGGGUUAAAAUCACCAAAAGUAUCUGGACAAGCGAUCAAUUGCAAUACAUCCGGCAUCGACGUAAUUUAUUGAAAGAUGUUGUUCGAUUGUUUUACGUGGAAAACUCUUUUCCUCUUUCCUUUUGUUGUGAAAAAAUUUUUUGCGGUCAAUUUAUAUGAAAUAAACAAUGUCCAACAUUAUUUAGUAACGAUAUAGUAUUUAUAACGAUAAUAUAGUUAUUUCAAGAAAAUCAAAUAUUAUAUAUAAUUGAUUCGAAUUUUUAAUCCGAUCAGCUGGCGUGAAAAAAUCAUUUACUGUAUGUGAACACGGAAUAAAAAAGUUGCGAAAACGAUGAAUAAAGAAAAAGGAAUGGGUUAAGGAAUCUAGAAAACAAUUAUUAAAUUAAUUUACCAAUUCAUUAUGUACGACGUGACAAGUCUUUACGAAAAAUCAUUGAAUGAUUAUUUUUCUAAUUUCCACGUAUGGGUAUGUGCUGAGUAUAUUUGUAUUAUAAACAUUAAAAAACUUGGAUCUUGUCUUGUGAAUAAAUGAAAAGAAUAAAAAUAUAUAUAUAUAUAUACAUAUAUAAGUGAUAUUAUAUUAUACGUAUAAAAUAUAUAAUGUAGCAAUUCAGUUGAUUAGUGAUAAGAAUGAUAAAAAAACAAUGAAGAUAAUAAUUUUAUAUUCAUACAACGUAAAGAGAUUCGGAAAAACUGACCUCGCUCAUUGUUUCCCGUGCAUAUAAACUACAUGGGCAUAUAGCCGAUUAAUAUGAAAUAUGUUAUAUGGUGCGGAUUACAAAAAAUUCAAAUCAUUAUGACAAGUAAUGUGUAAAAAAUAUUACGAAAUGUAGUUAAUGGUACAAGUACUUCUGAUAGAAAUAUAACGAAUUAUACGUUUUAGGGAUACAAUAUACUAGUUGUAUAGUUGACAUAGUAUUUAAGCGUAUCAGUUAAUUUUUUAUCACAGCCAUCAUACAUAUAAAUGAAUAAUAAACAUAACCAAUUAGUAGGUUGUAUGUUAGACAAUAAAAAUGUGUAUAUUAUAUACAUAUAUAUACAUAUCAGCGUGGUCUUUAAUGGGGUAGUUUUCAAAUUUUUAUGCUCCCAGGGGCUUAAACAAAUAUUCGAAUUAAUAAAAAAUAAUUCCUCAAGAAUUUGAGCUCUCUGUAUCAAUUCUAAGAUAGUCCGCUUUCUGAUCGAAGUGUCUUAUGGAAAUAAUUUUUGUUCUCAGUGUUUAUUUCAUUGUUACAGUAAUAUUGUUCAAAAAAAUUUUAACUGCAAGGUUUUAGUGCUACUAUCUGGAACGAAAUACACAUCAUCGUACCCAGGAAAUUUAGACGAAUUGCACACCCUCGAAAUAAAGAAAAAGUCAGAUUUUGAGAGUUGCAGCAAUUGGUCGAGAUUACACGGUAUGAUUAUGUUUAUUUAUUUUUUUUCAGAUAGUAGCACCAAUGCCCACUAAAACCUUGCAGUUAUAGAUUUUUUGAACAUUAUUACUCUUGCAGUACAAUAUAAACUAGUUAAAAAAAGUUUAUCGCAUGUUAUUUCCAUAAGAUAAUUCGAUCACAAAGCGGACUAUCUUAGAGUUGACAUAGAAAGCUCAAAUUUUCAGGGAAUAUUUUCCCAUUAAUUUGAAAUAAGCCCCUGGGAGUAUAAAAAUUCAAAAACAACCCUAUUAAGGACUACCCUACUAUAUAUUUUAUAUAAAUAUAUAAUAUAGAUAUAUACGUAGAUUUCGGUCUUUGAAUACGCGAACAAUUGAUACAAAAGGAAUUAACGAGUUUCUCGUUAGCUGAAUUUUAGUUUUAUCAAGAUUAGUUUCGCUUCUGUCACUCGAUGUGAUUCGGCAAGCGCAAAUUGUAAAAAAAAGGUUCGAAAAACGGUAGAAAAAAACUUCAACCGAUGUAUUAUCAACGAUCAAAGAGAAAAAUUAUAUGGUAUAAGUCCUGAUGAACACGACGAUAUAAAAAUGUACUGAAAAAGUUACAAUAAUCAGUAACCUAUGUGUAGUAAUUUAUAUGAAUAAAAUAUUGACCAACAUAAAAAAAAAUUCCAUGACAACCGACGAGAUUCAUUUCUACUGGUUUGAUAUUUAUUUAUCUUCAUCGGGGUUUUUAUUUUCAUAAGUUGAAAAUGAUGAGUAUAGUGAUAUAUUCGUAUACUUUUACAACAAUAAAAAUACGAGGUUCUGAAAUUCAUUCGCAUUCGUAUGAAUGUCAAUACCUAUUUUUUUUUUUUUUCGUAUGUGGUAUAGUUGUCAAGUUAUUGGCUUCUAAAGAAUUGACUUAAUUUAAUUAUAGAUUUUUCGCGAACAGUUUUUCGAAUUAAACAAAUUUGCAAUAAAAUAUCAAACAUGGUGGUUUAUAUA
rnacentral:misc_RNA from 1 species